CAAGCGUGUCAUCCCCAGAUGCAAUGGACAAUAUGCUAUUAUGAUUGUAUGGCAUUGUCCUUGGUGUUUGGAGAUAAUACUGCUGAC
ensembl:miRNA